rnacentral:rRNA from 1 species
CCUACGGGUGGCAGCAGUCGGGAAUAUUGCGCAAUGGAGGAAACUCUGACGCAGUGACGCCGCGUGCAGGAAGAAGGUUUUCGGAUUGUAAACUGCUUUAGACCGGGAAGAAAAAAGACAGUACCUGUAGAAUAAGCUCCGGCUAACUACGUGCCAGCAGCCGCGGUAAUACGUAGGGAGCAAGCGUUAUCCGGAUUUAUUGGGUUUAAAGGGUGCGUAGGGGGAAUGCCAAGUCAGCGGUAAAAUCGCGGGGCUCAACCUACCUCCGCCGUUGAAACUGGCGUUCUUGAGUGGGCGAGAAGUAUGCGGAAUGCGUGGUGUAGCGGUGAAAUGCAUAGAUAUCACGCAGAACUCCGAUUGCGAAGGCAGCAUACCGGCGCCCAACUGACGCUGAAGCACGAAAGCGUGGGUAUCGAACAGGAUUAGAUACCCUUGUAGUC